GAUAUUCUCCAUGUGUCAUCUAUGUCUUUGUCGUCUUUGCCUUAAUUACUCCUAUUAAACCAAGAACUCUCUUUCCGGCAAGAACAUAGCCUUGUCUCCGCAUUAAGUUCUCCUAGAGUUUCUUCACUUUCUUCUUGGUCACUGAAGAGAAUCAAGAAAUGGGUAGGGAAGGCAUAGAAGAAGGAGAAAUAUCGAGCUCUCUGCUUGUCAAAGAUAGAUCUCAGAUACGUGGAAGAGAUGAUGCCUGUGUUAGUGGAGAAGUGCAGAGUGGAGGAUCUUCAGCAACUACUGUGUUGGUGAUAAGCACCCUGGUUGCUGUUUCUGGUUCAUAUGUUUUCGGCUCAGCUGUAGGAUAUUCAUCACCCACUCAGUCUGGAAUCAUGGACGACCUGGGUCUAUCUUUGGCAGAGUACUCAGUUUUUGGUUCUAUAUUAACAAUCGGGGCAAUGGUAGGCGCAAUAAUGAGUGGGAGGAUAGCAGAUUACACUGGUCGAAGAGGCAUAAUGGGCUUCUCAGAAAUGUUUUGCAUCAUAGGAUGGCUUGCAAUA
rnacentral:misc_RNA from 1 species